rnacentral:rRNA from 1 species
GAAGCUGGAAUUGCUGUAAUGGCAGGUCAGCAUACUGCCGUGAAUACGUUCCCGGGCCCUUGUACACACCGCCCGUCACACCAUGAGAGUUGGGAAUACCCGAAGCCUGUGAGCUAACUUAUAGAGGCAGCAGUCGAAGGUAGAAUCAAUGAUUGGGGUGAAGUCGUAACAAGGUAGC